rnacentral:miRNA from 1 species
UGGGGCGGAGCUUCCGGAG